rnacentral:rRNA from 1 species
GACGAACGCUGGCGGCGUGCUUAACACAUGCAAGUCGAACGGAAAGGCCCUGCUUGCAGGGUACUCGAGUGGCGAACGGGUGAGUAACACGUGGGUGAUCUGCCCUGCACUUCGGGAUAAGCCUGGGAAACUGGGUCUAAUACCGGAUAGGAGCCAUUUUUAGUGUGAUGGUUGGAAAGUUUUUUCGGUGUAGGAUGGGCUCGCGGCCUAUCAGCUUGUUGGUGGGGUAAUGGCCUACCAAGGCGGCGACGGGUGGCCGGCCUGAGAGGGUGGACGGCCACAUUGGGACUGAGAUACGGCCCAGACUCCUACGGGAGGCAGCAGUGGGGAAUAUUGCACAAUGGGCGCAAGCCUGAUGCAGCGACGCCGCGUGGGGGAUGACGGCCUUCGGGUUGUAAACUCCUUUCGCUAGGGACGAAGCUUUUUGUGACGGUACCUAGAUAAGAAGCACCGGCUAACUACGUG